rnacentral:rRNA from 1 species
UACAGAGGGUGCAAGCGUUAAUCGGAAUUACCGGGCGUAAAGCGUGCGUAGACGGUUAUGUAAGUCAGAUGUGAAAGCCCCGGGCUCAACCUGGGAAUUGCAUUUGAGACUGUGUAGCUAGGGUGCGGAAGAGGGAAGCGGAAUUUCCGGUGUAGCGGUGAAAUGCGUAGAUAUCUGGAGGAACACCGGUGGCGAAGGCGGCAUCCUGGACCGGCAUUGACGCUGAGGCGCGAAAGCCAGGGGAGCAAACGGG